rnacentral:pre_miRNA from 1 species
GUGUCAUCUUUGUGAUCUGCAGCUAGUUGUCUGGGUCCAGUUGCAUAGUCACAAAAAUGACCAUGGACAGGUGUGGCUGCAGCAGGAG